AAUUAUACCUUCAUAUAUGAGAGUGAAAAAUCUUGCAAUUUGCUUGCUUUGUAUUAAUGUAUUACGUAUGACAUUGCAUUUUUUCCUAGGUAACUUUUGGGUGAUCUAAAUCAUUUGAAUAACUCUAUCAAGACACAUAUCAGAAGAAAUAUUGUGUAUGAGAGAGGGACUAACAUGCAAAAUUGCUCCAUUUCCUGCAUAGUUUGAAGUCUUGAGGGGUAGGGAGACUAUUGAAGGUUUAGCUGCCUCUGCGUAAUCUGCAAAAUUAAUCGAGACUUCUCCCAGGAGACCUGAUUUUGACGAUCCCUGCAAGAUUUCAAAGUUUCAGAAGACAUCUAUGGGAACAAAGUCUGAAGGAGUAAACCUGAUUAUCCCAACAACAGGUUCCAUCCACAAUGGCAGCUUUCUCUAAUCUCACCGUCGGCUUUCCAACAUCCGCGGGAACCAGAGAUAUUGUCAGUGUUUUUGCUUUCAAUUGUGGCACCUGUAAACGGUACAGUUCACAAACCAGAUAAAUAUUAUCUACUUUUCAUUUUUUGUAUAUUGAUUAACACUUAUAUAGUCAAAUAUUUCAGUUUAGUUGUAGGAAA